CCCCCCCCCCCCCCUCCCCAGCGCUGCAGGCCUGCGAGGCCCUCCUGCCGACGCCCCCCUUCAGCUCAGUGACACGGCAGCGUCCUCCCCUCCACGCUCGCCGGGUGAGAGGCAGCAAUCCAGACACGAACAAUAUUCAUCUGCAGUGGUGUUCGAUGUCCAAGGACACAGAUGGACUUGCUUUCGAGGGGUCUGAUGUCAUUGCUGAUAUCAUUGCUCUCCGCGCCGGCGAGGAGAGCCGCAAAGAGCCGGCACUUAUGCUUCACACGAGUUAUUUAAUAUUUACACAAAAAACGUGGAAAAAACUGCCAAAGGGCAUCCUGCGAGCCGCUGGGUCUGAGAUGCCCUCACGCAGCCUCCCAGCGGGGGCAGGAGCUCGCGCGUCUCACUUGACGGGGGCCGUUUAAGCCAUUCUUUUGGCCGGGAGCGGGAAGCAGGUUCCUGGUGCUUCUUCACUUUUUGCAAAGGUGACUUUUUUGUUCCCAACUGGCACAGUGUUUGCAUUAAACUCCCUUCCUGGCACGGCUGUAGAGGAGAACUCUUCCAGCAAUAAAAACACAAUCGAUCAUUAAUGAGGCUGCGUAUCUUUUAAGCGAAAACCAACCGGUCCGGACUGCACAUAUUUAUACUUAAAAAAGGAAUGACAAUCGAUAAUGAAAGUUGCUUAGGCUGCAUUUCCAAUAUUGACCACUAGAUGUCUGUACUGCCACUAUUCAACACCCUGGAUUGCAAUAGACGCCAAUUCAACUGGUGGCAAGCGCAAACACAAAACGCUCCAUUGUUGUGUCAACCAAGGGUAUAAAAAAACUACAAGGGAAAUCACACAGGCUUUUCCUCUGGCAAACGCGGGAUUUGGUGUUCCAUGGGUCACUGUAUACAGAACCGCCAUGUUGGAGAGUGGAGAUGCAGGGAUGACUGAAGACUGGUCAGACAUUGAGAAGACAGGGGUGAGUCUUCGUAGCCGGGGGUGCUGGGUCGGCUCAUGGAACCUGACUCGGCCUCGCUGGGGGAGCGCUCUCCCUGCGACGGCAGGCUCCUGCUGUCAGAGCUGCCACGGCCGCCCUUGCGGUGGAUACGGGAGUGCAGCACCAUCUGGUGCUUUGCCCAGGAAUGACAAGAGUCGAUAUGGGCUGUUGUAAACCCAGGAGUCAAGACCAGAACCGAACCGCCCAGCCUGCAGUUUAGAGCAUGCCAAUACAGUCACUCGCCUCUGGACUUCUCGAACCCCAGGCACCUCGCUGACACAAGCGGCACGCUGGAGAACCCUCGACAGCCCUGUCUGAUUCAGCAAAUUUGAGGAGGGGCGCAGCAAACAGCCAGCGUCAGCAUGAUGUGCGUUUGUGAUGCUGGGUACCUGGCCUCCUGCUCAUGGCCCAGAACAUGAAUGUCCCUGAAGAGUGAGUGACCGCCUCCUCCAUCCCACGCUGACAUGGGACCGAAUCAUCUCUGCCCAAGAGCGGCUCUCCAUAGUUAAUGCAUCACCACAUGACAGAAGGAAACACAACUGUGCCCCCAGAAAAGGGGGAAGGUUGCUCUUUGUUUCAUUACAACCUGAAAAGGGCUUUUAUAACGGUUUUAAAUCAUUACACAAGGUAAACGAUAAACAUGUACUUGCAGACUGCCCAGUUUCUGCCUGAAAUCCAUCUGCACUGAAUCCAUGCUCUUCUGGUAUCAAAGCAAAUAAUUAUUUUGUCACCUUAUCUGGGCCUGAAAGCAGGAUUAACACUGGAUACACUUAACCCAAUCAUUCAAGCAGGAUAUCAGCCCAUGGAUGACAGGGCACACGAAUGCAAUCGCGCUCCCCCAGAGCGGAGGCCUUUGAGCACAGAGGCCUCCUUUUGCACUGUGGCAGAAAGCUCCUCCGCAAAGACGCUAGGUGAACCGCUUACUCACACCAUUCACUGCCGCUGCAUCUUACAGAAUGACCCUCUGCUGAAAAGCGGAUGAUAGCUCAAUUACGAGAGCGGAGAAAAAUCAAUCUCUCAUCAGCUUCAGCACACAGCAGUGACAGAGAGAAGUCUGCUGAGGUCACUGUGAAUAGACUGAAAGCACGGCUGGUGGUCCAAGCUGGGCCUCUUCCUUCUCUGACAUGCACCCCCCCAUGGGUCAGGACUGUUCAGUGUCCACUCCAAAACCUGCAUCUCUGAAACUGCACAACUACAAACUAAGAACUGUAUAGGAACAGAACACAACCAAGAAUACUAAUGAGCUCUUUACUCACUUAUUAUAUGAAUUAUAAAAUAUUUUCAUUAAAGUACAUAAAAUAUCUAUUUUGCAAAGCCAGAGUUUCAGCUGAAGACUUUAUCACAGUAAAUUUCACCACAGCCAGUUAUGAGCUUUACCACAGCCAGUUCUGGAUUUCACCAUAGCCAGUUAUGGAUUUUACCAUAGAAAGUAUGGAUUUCACCAUAGCCAGUUCCAGACUUCACCAUAGCCAGUUCAAGACUUUACCAUAGCCAGUUCCAGACUUCGUCAUAGCCAGUUCCUGAUUUCAACAUAGCCAGUUCUGGUUGGCACAGUAUGAGGGACACUGGUACUUGGGCCCUCACUGGGUGUGGCUGUGGGUUCCAGUCCAAACUGGAAAGGCUUCUAGUAGCAGUAAGAGUCGAUAAAUGUCUGACAGAAUGACAGCGAAGCUCAAAUAUCAGCAUUAUUAGUACAUUUUCCAGAGAGCCUCUAAGCAAACUAAUGGAUAGUCAUGUCUUAAUCAAACACAGUAAAUCCUGUAGCCCUGUCAAGGUAGAGAGUCACCAAUUACUUUUUAUCUGAAAUAAAGCCAGUGUUUUAUGUUGGAUUAAAUAAAUUGACUUAGCUUACCACCACUUAAGGAUGAAAUAUUUUAUAACACAGAAAACCUUUCAGAGCAGACCCUCGCAGAGCAGUCACUUCCAGAAUAUUCUGAGAACCAAGAUGCAGUUCCGCAGUGAAAUGCUUUGAUAAACAACCAGUGAUUGCAGACUGAUAAACGUCUUUUUGCACUGCCAGGAGAUCACUGGACACUGUCACCUUCAGGAUGGCAGGAUGUGGGCAGCAUAAUGUAUCAGAGAAGAAAUUAGCAAAAAAAAACUUUAAUUGGCACUCUUUCUCCUCACUACUGCUCACCAAAAUAUAACCAAACAAUAAAUAUUACAUCCAUAUUACAUCCAUGUGUCGACCAUCCAGUGAUAUCUCCAAAGAAAACUGAAUCACAUUGGUAUUACAGAGCAUCCCCUUUCAUUGUCCUCAAACACUCACCCUUUGACCUUCCCUGCGGAGUUCUGUAGUCCAUAUAUAGUACUGGAGUACAAUCUGUGUGCUCCAUGCAUCAUCAGGUUAUUGGUGGUUCUCUGACCUUUCUUGUAUCUAGAGCUUUGAUGAACUCCUUAAAACAACAUUCCUAUAUCCUGGACUUGGUAUUACAAUCUCCCUUUUUGCCAGGGAUGCCGUAAAGAGCAGUUCAGAUGGAUGGACAUGGGCACCUGCGU